ACAGAAACCACCAAGCCCACCAAAGGUUAAGCCUCCACAUCCACCAAAACCACCAAAGGUUGAGCCUCCUCAUCCACCAAAACCACCGAAGAAACCACCAUGCCCACCAAAGGUUAAGCCUCCACAUCCACCAAAACCACCAAAGGUUGAGCCUCCUCAUCCACCAAAACCACCGAAGAAACCACCAAGCCCACCAAAGGUUGUGCCUCCACUUCCACCAAAACCACCAAAGAAUCCUCCUCCUCUUCCACCAAAACCACCAAAGGAGCCACCAACACCACCAAAGGAGCCUCCUCCAACACCGCCAAAGAAGCCAUGUCCACCAAUCUUCAAGAAACCACUUCCACCAAUCCCUAAGUUGCCACCACUUCCUCCAGUUCCAAUCUACAAGAAGCCACUUCCACCUCUUCCUCCACUCCCUAAGUUGCCACCACUUCAUCCAGUUCCAAUCUACAAGAAGCCACUUCCACCUCUUCCUCCACUCCCUAAGUUUCCACCACUUCAUCCAGUUCCAAUCUACAAGAAGCCACUUCCACCUCUUCCUCCACUCCCUAAGUUUCCAACACUUCAUCCAGUUCCAAUCUACAAGAAGNN
rnacentral:lncRNA from 1 species